AAAACCACACACCCCAGGAAGGAGAAUUUUAAAAGAGCUGUUUUUCCCAUUAGGCUAAAAAUAGUAUAUCUCAUGUUUCGUUUUGGUGAUGCCUUUCCUUGUCAUGUCUGGCUCUGCCGGCAGUUGUAGUUAUUCCAGACAAGGAGUGCCUUUCUCUGGUUUAAGGUAAGUAAGUCACUUCUGUACUAGGUUAUAGGUCCUACUCAGUGUUAUCUUGACGGAUCUCUUCAGUACUGUUCACCUUUUUAAUGACCAUCUUGUCUCUUCAGGUCUCCUCUCUUAGGGCUGACAGUUUUUCUUUCUCUGUGCCUGCACAGUCCUUGGAAGAGCCUCUUAUCAUGACAAAAAGAAACGAUAUUUUUGGCCAUUUCCCAGCAUGCAUUCAUGGGCACAUGCAGCAGGUCACCUUAGUGAAGCUGGAAUAAAAACUACUUUCAAAGGAGCAACAGCGAUAGUCAGCUCAGCAGCACGACUCCUGUGUACUCAACUACACUGGCUUCCCUCAAACACAAGUGCCUGGCUCCACCUGACCCGUGGCCCAAGCAACCCUGUCUUUGUAUUGGCUUAAAUUUGCUGCAAAUAGGCCACCCUAUCCAAGAAGGACCAUAAGAAAAGAAUCCUAAACAUUUUAAUUCACAGGCAUUUCAGAACUGGCAAUACUCUUGGACAGUGCACAGUAGAGCUUAUAAAUAGCACUUCGAGUGUCCAUGAUGUCACAAACCACAAGAUCAUCUGACUUGUGAUUUAUUACAUGAGAUCAUGGCUUGUAACCUGCAUCUUAUUUACAGUCACUACACCCACUAUUAUUCCUGAGCCAUCCCAGUGUUGAGCAGAUACAUAAAUGCUGCCUGGAACUGAAACAGUAAACAGCCAAUUAAAAGUUUAACCUCUCCCUUUCCAAUCUCUUCCUAUAUUAUUAACUGAGGAUACUGUUGCUUAAAUUAAGGUUGGGUCAGAUAAUGACAAAUAGGUGUUCAUUCAUUUACCUGUAUAUCACAUUUGCACAAACCAUACUCAUAGAUUUUGUCAGCAUUUAUUAUUCAAAAAUAGUUUCUCAUUGAAACUGCAUUUAUUUGAAGACAUGUUCUUUCCUUCAGUGCAAGAUUGUUGUUUUACAAGAUUUCCUAGAAUAAAAUAGUGAAAGUC